GGCUUGCGUACGGUAGAGGCCUAACCGGUCGCGCUGGGAUAGCGUGACAGCCAGCAAACACGACAACUGGAUCGCGAAUUCGAAUCCCGUCCAAGCCA
rnacentral:tRNA from 1 species